rnacentral:rRNA from 1 species
GUGCCAGCCGCCGCGGUAAGACGUAGGGCGCGAGCGUUGUCCGGAUUUAUUGGGCGUAAAGAGCUCGUAGGCGGCUCGUCGCGUCGGUGGUGAAAUUCCGCAGCUUAACUGUGGGCUUGCCGCCGAUACGGGCGGGCUGGAGUUCGGUAGGGGAGACUGGAAUUCCUGGUGUAGCGGUGAAAUGCGCAGAUAUCAGGAGGAACACCGGUGGCGAAGGCGGGUCUCUGGGCCGAUACUGACGCUGAGGAGCGAAAGCGUGGGGAGCGAACAGGAUUAGAUACCCGCGUAGUCC